AUUCGUACGUAAUCACAAACGCCCCGGUGAAUUCGCGGUUUGCGUAAUCUCUCCUUACAGCUAUCGGCUCUCCGCAUCGCUUCGAGGAACGCGCUCGAACGUUGGAGGAAAUCGUUUCCGGCUCUUUAACGUCACGUCUCGCGAAUAGCUACGAUAAUUGGAUAGGAAUAUUGCAAUGUUUUAGAGAUUUUUUUUAUCCGGGCACGAUAAUAAGAAUUCGAAUUUUUCUGCAGAGAUACUUUUUUGGUUUGAAAAGUGAUACGUGUUUUAUUUAGAAUCGAAUUUGUGAUUCUGUUCCGAUAGGAGUAGGAUUUAAUAAAUUUUGAUAAAGAGAAAAAACGGAAAAUUUGUGAAAUGUGCGGAUGAUCGAGUUUGGUGAAUGAGGUUUAAAGCAUUACGGAUCAAGUGUUGCGUUAUUAUUGUUAUGUAAAAUUAAAUUUUAAUGAAUAUAAGGUGUUAUAGAACGCGUACAAUUUUGCAGAUGCAUAUUAUAGAGAUGCAAAUUUAGAUUUCAACUAUAUAAAAUUUCAAGAAAUACAUUAGAAUUUCAAAUAGAACAGUCGCUAUCUGGAGAGGAUCAAGAAUGUUUUCUUGACUGGUGAAGUUUAUAUCUGUCUUUCAAUGCUUGUUGAGGAUGAACUUCAUUACGAUCGUCUUGCAUUUGACUCAAGUUCUAGUGAUAAUUGAUCGUAUAAUAAACACAAUGAAAGAAAGUGUGACGGAAACGGAUCAAUGUACUCACAGUGUGAUCGUCGUUGUAAUUUACACGCAGCAUCGUAUUCUUAUUGUCCGUUUCAAUCCCAUUGAUUUAUAUUAUAAUUAUAAUUCAAAAAGUAUUAAAAAAUUAACACAAAUUAAAUGGAUAUUCACGAAAGUAGCAUCAGAUGAAUUAUUUUAAAUUGUUUUUCUUCGCGUUGAAAUGUACAUGCGUGUUCGACAAUAAAAUGACAAUUGAAGAGUGUAAGAAAGAAACCAAAUACGGAAAUACACGUCAUACUUUCGUGACUUAACAAUUAUUCUUAGAAAAAUAAAUAAUUCUCUCUAUCAUUGUCCAUCAUCCGCACUUCAAUUUAAUUAAAGAAAUAUCAGAUUAAAAAGUCUAAAAAAAA